AUUGAGACAUCAGUUCCCAUACGGUCACCAUAGUUAAGCAAUGUUGUGCCUGGUCAGUACUGAGAUGGGUGAUUGCUUUGGAAUACCAGGUGCUGUAA